UGUGGUCAAGUUUUUAAGAGCACACGGUGGAUGCCUUGGCAUUAGGAGCCGAAGAAGGACGUAGGAAUCUGCGAUAAGCCUGGGGGAGUCGAUAACCGGACUGUGAUCCCAGGGUGUCCGAAUGGGGAAACCCCGCCAAGCGCGCGAGUGACUUGGUGACCCGCAUCUGAACACAUAGGGUGCGUGGAGGGAACGCGGGGAAGUGAAACAUCUCAGUACCCGCAGGAAGAGAAAACAAUAGUGAUUCCGUUAGUAGUGGCGAGCGAACGCGGAUCAGGCUAAACCGUUCCAUGUGUGAUAGCCGGCGGGCGUUGCAUGGUCGGGGUUGUGGGACUUUCCAUACCAGUUCUGCCGGGCUGGUGGGGUGUGAUGUGCGCGCAUAGGUGAACGGUCUUGAAAGGCCGGCCAGAGAGGGUGUUAGCCCCGUAACUGUAAUGCGUUGUGCCGCCUGUGAGAGUAUCCCAAGUAGUACGGGGCCCGAGAAAUCCCGUGCGAAUCUGUCAGGACCACCUGAUAAGCCUAAAUACUCCCUAAUGACCGAUAGCGGACCAGUACCGUGAGGGAAAGGUGAAAAGUACCCCGGGAGGGGAGUGAAACAGUACCUGAAACCGUGUGCUUACAAUCCGUCGGAGCCAGUCUGAUUCUGGUGACGGCGUGCCUUUUGAAGAAUGAGCCUGCGAGUUAGUGUUACGUCGCGAGGUUAACCCGUGUGGGGCAGCCGUAGCGAAAGCGAGUCUGAAUAGGGCGUUGCAGUGGCGUGAUCUAGACCCGAAGCGAAGUGAUCUACCCAUGGCCAGGUUGAAGCGACGGUAAGACGUCGUGGAGGACCGAACCCACUUCAGUUGAAAAUGGAGGGGAUGAGCUGUGGGUAGGGGUGAAAGGCCAAUCAAACUUCGUGAUAGCUGGUUCUCCCCGAAAUGCAUUUAGGUGCAGCGUUGCGUGUUUCUUGCUGGAGGUAGAGCUACUGGAUGGCUAAUGGGCCCUACAAGGUUACUGACGUCAGCCAAACUCCGAAUGCCGGUAAGUGAGAGCGCAGCAGUGAGACUGUGGGGGAUAAGCUUCAUAGUCGAGAGGGAAACAGCCCAGACCACCAACUAAGGCCCCUAAGCGUGUGCUAAGUGGGAAAGGAUGUGGAGUUGCGAAGACAACCAGGAGGUUGGCUUAGAAGCAGCCAUCCUUAAAAGAGUGCGUAAUAGCUCACUGGUCAAGUGAUUCCGCGCCGACAAUGUAGCGGGGCUCAAGUACACCGCCGAAGUUGUGGCAUUCAAACAAUGACUAAGCCUUCGUGGUUCAGGUGUUUGGAUGGGUAGGGGAGCGUCGUGUGGGCGGUGAAGUCGCGGUGUAAACCAGCGGUGGAGCCUACACGAGUGAGAAUGCAGGCAUGAGUAGCGAAAGACGGGUGAGAAACCCGUCCGCCGAAUGAUCAAGGGUUCCAGGGUCAAGCUAAUCUGCCCUGGGUAAGUCGGGACCUAAGGCGAGGCCGACAGGCGUAGUCGAUGGACAACGGGUUGAUAUUCCCGUACCGGCGAAAAACCGCCCAUGCUGAACAGGGGAUACUAACUGCCCGAGACCUGCCCGAUCACCCUUGUGGUGUGAGGGUUUUGGUGGAGCGCAGGACCUGAUCCUGGGAGGCAAGCGUAUUAACAGGUGUGACGCAGGAAGGUAGCCGAGCCGGGCGAUGGUUGUCCCGGUCUAAGGAUGUAGGGCGAACGGUAGGCAAAUCCGCUGUUCAUGAUGCCUGAGAUCUGAUGGGACCCCCGUUUGGGGGG
rnacentral:rRNA from 1 species